rnacentral:lncRNA from 1 species
GUACUGCAACACCUGCUCUAUCCGUUUUUGAUCACGAGAGAUGUCGUGCUAUGUAACAGAUGCUCCUUAUUCAUACGCGACGUGGUUUCAGCACCCGUACCGCAGCUGACCCCGGGGGCACCCAGCCGCACCGCGCCCAGCUCCGCGGGACAACCUCAGCCGGGACGGCUUCGGAGAUCGCUCCGUCGGCACCACCAGAGCACACACACACAUCCACCAGGAGCUCCAUACCACGGACCGGCCCAUUCCGAGCAGCGCAACCACACGUUCCCGUACUGCUGUGUGUACGGAACUGCUCGGAGGCGCGGCCCUUCCGGAGCACGGCAGACCCCCCUCCCCUCGGCGGGGCGUGCCGGCAGCUCGCAGCCCAACCGGGUUGGCCCCGCCCGGCGGCUCUCGGCCGGUCCCGGUAGCAGCAGGGCUCGGCCCGCACUGCCCGUUACCGAGAGCCAUCGGAGCCCUGCGCACAUCCCCGCCAGCAGCCUCAGGACUCCGCCUCGCCGCGGCCCCUCGGCUCCCACCCGCUGCCCCUCGGCCUUCCCCCAGCCCACAGGCCGCUCGCUCCCGAAGGAGCCCCUAGCGGCCCCCCAGGCACGCCGGCAGCCCUGGGAUCUUUACAAGGCACAGAGCUGCCCUGCUGGGCUCCUCCUCCUCCUCCGCGAAGCCGCGGUCCCCGCCGGAACCUGCGGCCCGAGCCGGCUCCGCACUCACCCCUUCCGGGCCCGGCUGCACGCCUCCCAGCGGCCACCACAGCCUGCCCGCCGCCCUCAGCACAGCCAAUCCUUUCUCUCCGUGCUGGCGAACGGCAGCCAAUAUCUGGCCGGGGGGAAGAGGAAAAGACCAAUUCCGGCAGAGGGGACAGAGUUACAGGCGCGUCCCUGCCUCCCUCGGAGGGCUGGGCGGGGCGACCGGCUACUGCGGCAUCACAAGGGGGAGGAAGGGCCCGCCCCCUGCGGGGAGGUCGGCCCCUCAGGCCGGGGUCCCGUGCUGGGUGUGUCGUGGGGCUGUGACGUGCAGAAAGGAGGUUGGAAUGUCCUGUCUGUCCUACUGGUGCUCCACCUGGUUUCAGCUAUUAUUUAUGCAAAUUUAGAUAUAUAUAUUUGA